rnacentral:rRNA from 1 species
ACGAACGCUGGCGGCGUGCCUAAUACAUGCCAGUAGAACGCACAGUUUAUACCGUAGCUUGCUACACCAUAGACUGUGAGUUGCGAACGGGUGAGUAACGCGUAGGUAACCUGCCUGGUAGCGGGGGAUAACUAUUGGAAACGAUAGCUAAUACCGCAUAAUAUUAAUUAUUGCAUGAUAAUUAAUUGAAAGGUGCAAUUGCACCACUACCAGAUGGACCUGCGUUGUAUUAGCUAGUAGGUGAGGUAACGGCUCACCUAGGCGACGAUACAUAGCCGACCUGGGAGGGUGAUCGGCCACACUGGGACUGAGACACGGCCCAGACUCCUACGGGAGGCAGCAGUAGGGAAUCUUCGGCAAUGGACGAAAGUCUGACCGAGCAACGCCGCGUGAGUGAAGAAGGUUUUCGGAUCGUAAAGCUCUGUUGUAAGAGAAGAACGGGUGUGAGAGUGGAAAGUUCACACUGUGACGGUAUCUUACCAGAAAGGGACGGCUAACUACGUG